rnacentral:rRNA from 1 species
GGCUGUAACUAUAACGGUCCCAAGGUAGCAAAUUUCCUUGUCGUCUAAAUAACGACCUGCAUGAAAGAUAGAACGAUUCGAUAGCUCUCUUGCAUAGAUGUGGUGGUAAAAUAUUAGGUAGUGUGAAGAUACUCUAACAACGUUAUAGGACAAAAAGACCCUGUGAACCUUUAUAGGGAUAAAAUUUAGUAGAGGUUCUAUAUUAAUAUAUCGCUUCGGCUGGGAUGGAAAAAGUUUGAGAUACCAUUCAUUGAGAAUAGAAUAAGAUAAAUCAGUUAGUUAUGCACAUCAUGUGCUCACGCAAUGCGCGUUUUAUAUUUGUCAAAUGUUAGAUGGGCUAUUUAAUUGGGGCGAUAACCUUCUUUAAUCAAACAAAAGGUGAACAAAGCUAUUGAUACGGGCUUUGUUAAAGGACGAAUAAGUACAAAGAUAGAUCUGUGGCUUAAUGGUAUUCCUUUGUUUGAUCCAGUAUUUAAAUGGUAUCUUAGUGACCUUAAAAUUAAUUUAUCAAAUAAAAGCUACUCAAGGGAUAACAGGCUUAAUUAAAAUUAGAGCUCACAUUAAAUUUGCCAGUUUGGCACCUCGAUGUCGGCUUAUCUUUUCAAAAAUCUGUAUUAAGAUUAUUGGUGGGAGUGCUCAUCCCAUAAUAAGGUACCUGAGCUGGGUUCAAUACG